rnacentral:rRNA from 1 species
AUUGAACGCUGGCGGCAGGCCUAACACAUGCAAGUCGAACGGUAACAGGAAGAAGCUUGCUUCUUUGCUGACGAGUGGCGGACGGGUGAGUAAUGUCUGGGAAACUGCCUGAUGGAGGGGGAUAACUACUGGAAACGGUAGCUAAUACCGCAUAACGUCGCAAGCCCAAAGAGGGGGACCUUCGGGCCUCUUGCCAUCGGAUGUGCCCAGAUGGGAUUAGCUAGUAGGUGGGGUAACGGCUCACCUAGGCGACGAUCCCUAGCUGGACUGAGCGGGUGACCAGCCAGACUGGAACGGAUACACGGUCCAGAUUCCUACGGGAGGCAGCAGUGGGGAAUAUUGCACAAUGGGGGCAAGCCUGAUGCAGCCAUGCCGCGUGUAUGAAGAAGGCCUUCGGGUUGUAAAGUACUUUCAGCGGGGAGGAAGGGAGUAAAGUUAAUACCUUUGCUCAUUGACGUUACCCGCAGAAGAAGCACCGGCUAACUCCGUG